UGGGGAAUUUUGGACAAUGGGCGCAAGCCUGAUCCAGCCAUUCCGCGUGAGUGAAGAAGGCCUUCGGGUUGUAAAGCUCUUUCGCAAGGGAAGAAACGAUGCAGUCGAAUAAACUGCGUUAAUGACGGUACCUUGAUAAGAAGCACCGGCUAACUACGUG
rnacentral:rRNA from 1 species